AGACCUGAUACUCGACCACCCAGU
rnacentral:siRNA from 1 species